rnacentral:lncRNA from 1 species
GCGAAUAAAGAUUCCGGCUAAGGAAUUCUGUUGACCGAGGGGAAGGUGUUAGGCACCCCUCGAUCCCGUGGUUCGACCACGGUCACUCUGUAGAGUAUAUCGGCUAGUAUGAACAUUAUGACUGUAUAAACCAACAAACACAUAAACACGAAACAAACAAACAAAAUCAAAAUUAAUGUCCAAUCUAAUUUAUUACAAACCCAAAAUAAAAAGGUACUGAAAUGUAAACCUACGCUAACCUAAACUAGUCCUACACUACACUUCAAUGCUUUACCCGAUGCCUCGGACCUUGACCACGAGCCUCCUUUGCAUACAUGAUACUUUGGGGCAUUCCCCAGUGAAUAAAUACAAAUGACUUCUGGGCAUUCCCCGGCUAAAUGAAUAUAUUUUUUCAAUGCUAGAAGACCAAAAUCAUUCAACAAUAUUUCAAACAUUCAAUAACUCAUAAUUUCUAAAUUUGUCUACCCCUAGCAUUUGCCUACCCAUUUAACGACCUAAUCAUGAUACUACUACAUUCGAGAAGGUUAAUAAACAUUUCAAAUUAAUUCAAUCGACGAACCAAAAUUAAUUCGAGUUCACUUUAUCAAGAUCAAUCCCUCCCCAAAUUCCUUUUAUACGUCAAAUUUUCACACAAAGCAAUUAUCCAAACUCAUGCUAACAUCAAAUUCGUACCAUGAUUAAUUAUUCACGAAUAAAUAAUAUCAAACAUCAACAAGAUCAUCCAAUGACAACCAUCAACACACAAUCAUAACAUCAAUAUAUCAAAUGAAAAUAAAGCGAAAAGAGAGAGUUGAAGAAUUGUACCUCAAUGCCGCUUUCAUUCAAACAUUACUCAAUUAAACGAGACAAAAUCCACGCCGAGAACCUCGACUCAAACCUCAAAUCAAAGUCCCAAAUUGAUAUUGUCGAAGUACACCCGAUUCUGUUUCUCACUAACUAAACCAAAACUCAUGAGAGAAAGACAAAAUUCCUGCCAGAACAGUGAAGUUGAAUCGGAUUAUGGUCGCUUUCCAAUGGGUGGAUGAUGGUCGACGAGCCGAUGGGAUUUUCAACGAAAGCUCACCGGCUGUUCACCAAAAAUUGAGCUGGGCCUCACCUAAAUAUGCGAAUUUGGUCAGUUUUGAGGCCUUUGGUCGCUGGUUUUGAAAGCUUAGGGGGUCGGAACUGGUUUUCCGGUGGGUUUGCGCCGCUGGAUAGGUUGUUUUCAAUGGCGAUUUCAGCAGCUCUCAAGUGAAAAUUCGUCGGAGAAGUGCCUCCUCUUCUCGAUUUUUCUCUCGCUGACCCCUGAUCUCGAUCUCUCUCUUCCCCUCUCCUCAAUUCACUCUUUGUUUCAGUCCCUUUUAGUGUAUGUGAGAGAAUUAUUGUGCGUGUAUGAAGUAGUAUUUAUGGUCUCCGUUCCAGUGAGUCCUUUUUUGUGUAUUGUGUGUGUAUGUGCUUUUUCUGUGAGUUUUCUUUGGAAGAUAAGAAAAUGGAGACCCCUUUCCGGUAUAUGUGAGUAUGUGCGUGAAUUUGAGAGUGACGGUGAGAUUUCUAUGAGUGAGUGGAAAUUUUUCUAGAGAAUGUGUAUUGUUUCCCUGUGGGUCCCGCUUCUCUUUUGUGUGUGAUGAAUGUG